GUAGACUGCUGGAGCUGCAGUGGUAGACUAGAUUGUUGUUCCAACAGCUGAUUCGAUCCCUCUCUCCCUCUGAGCUAGCCUCUCCCUGGCUAUUUAUGGCAGAUUCCCCGCUAUCAAAGCUCCUCUCUUCAGCCCAUACAUGGUUGCUCCUGUAUGAAGUUACCACCACGCUGCUUUUGGCACACAGUCCUCCUCAGCACAGUCGUGGAAGCGCGCAAGGCCGGCAUCUCUCUGCUUCUUGGUGUGAGACAGUCAGAGGCCUAAUGUUAGUUGUUAGAAUGGACAUUUUGAAAAUCCAGCAGGCAGGAACAGCGGACCGGUUGAUGGAUUGCUGGACUAGUUCAGAGUAGAAUCGAAGGAAGUUAGAAUUGAGAACUUUUGGAAUAGUUUUAAGAAGAACCACCUGUGGACUAUUGCUUAUUUUUUACUACCCCUGUUUAUUUUCUGUCUCUCCUCUCGUCCUCUUUCACUCCCUCCCUAACCCCAUUCCCUGCCCACCUCUCCUUACCCCUCUCACCCCUCUCGUCUUUUCUCUGCUGUGUCUACUUCUUGGACUGAUUUAUUUGGCACAGCUUUUUCCAGAGCGGUCUGGAAUGCACUGUUCUAUAUUUGUCGGCUGCUGAAGCUAUCUUCUCCAUCGUGGAUGAGGCUGAAUCCUGGUGCUCCUUUGGGAAGGACAGGUGGACUUCACUAUUGUGGUGUUGCGCCACAAUAUCAAUCACCUGCUGAGAGUUUGAAUGUAGUUGGAACCAAGGAAAACCAGACGAUGUACCGCCCCCAUACAUUUUCAACGGGAGAACGCGGAGCAAUGCGCAGGAGAUCGUGGGACGGUGAGCGGAGCAGUAGAAAAAGUUCAGCUCUGCUCUAUGCCACCGCUGCCGUUAACCAAUCAGGUGAGAAGCAAAUGUUUGCUUGAAGAUCUUCCUUUCAUUGGAACAUACUAUAGUUUCUGCCUGGCAUUAGUCCCAGGCAAGGACAACCAAAAAAUAUGGAGGAAAGCCAAUCAUCAUGGUUUUCCAAUUCUGUAUGAUUUUGCUUUGGUACAAUACAGAGACAAAAUCAUAAGGUCAAUGGCAUGGAAGAGGAUUGCAGAGCUUGUUUGAUUGUGCUGCUAGCUAGCUAUGAACGUCAAGCAGCCUAAAAACUGAUCAAAGCCACCAAAUUGUGAAAUUUGUUUACCAAAGGAUAUACAUUACCAGUAACACGCAGUAUAACAUGGUAAAAUUAAUUCUUAGUGUAUAAUUUGCUAUCUGGCAUUAUGAUUCUGAAAUGUAAUAGCUUAUGGCUCUUUAAUUAUACUUGUGUCAUGACAUUGAUCAUUAUAGCUUACUUCCUGUGAAAUACAUAGGCCUACAUGCAAAUGAAUGGGUACUUUGGGUAAAGGAAAUUGUGGCGUUGACUUGCAAACAUUGUUGUGCAAAUCUCUCUUUACCCCUCAUCAACACCAACACCUCUGUAUGCCCCCAUGCCAUUGACCUUCUGAUUUGGUCUCUAUUCUAAAAUCAUUUUCAGCAAAUGAACAAGGUAGAAUUAAAAUGCUCUCCACCCCACAUUAUUUUCCUUUUUAUAUGUUUAUUUAGCUUACAAGUUGCCAGCUCUUUAUUUUAAUGUACCUAGAGUACAAGGGUUGGAUAUGCACUAAACAAUUUAAUGUCAGAAAAAUAAUGUUGAAAAUGUGCCUUAUGGUUAGCCUCAUAUACAUUAUCUAAU
ensembl:lncRNA